UUUUUGUACCCAUGUAUAUUUUAUUUUCUUUAAACACUCAUGAAUAAAAUAUUUUCACACUAUUACAACACAUACAGGGAACUUAAUAUUAGAUAGAAAUGGAGAAGAAACAGUAAAAAAUUAAUAAAAGGGAGAAACAAAUAGAGACACAAGAGUAGAAGAAAUUACAAAGAGAGAAUGAAAAAAUAAAAUGGAAAGUUCGUUUUUCCAGCAAGAAGUCGUCGGAAAAUUUUGAAUCUCACCGAAAACCCACUAGAUCUGCCGUCGAAAAAUCCACCUUCCCUCAUAACGAAGCUUUUCGGUGCACCCAUCUUGCCAGAAUCACCACCAAACCGCCGAAAAACCAGCAAAAUUGCCAGAAACCACCCUUCCAGAUUUACCGCCGACCAAAUUCUCCCUCUUCUUUCCCGUCGUCGGCCAACCAAUAAUAUCAAUAGUGCCGCCAACCGCUGGAUUCACCCUUUUUAUUUAAUUUUUUGACCAGAUUUAUCGACAACCACCACUGCAGCCGCUGGAGCCAGUCAAACUGGUCAAAUUCCAUCGAAACUCCUCUCCCGGAUUCGCCUGCCACCACCCUUUUCUCAAAAUUUGGUGGGAAACCACUAUUAACACACACCACAUACAUUGAUAUACGUAUAUGUCAGAGAAAGGAAACGUGUAGAAAAUGGAGAGAAAAGAGAAAAACAGAAAAGUAAUA
rnacentral:lncRNA from 1 species